rnacentral:rRNA from 1 species
CAGGAGGGACAGCUACUGAAUCAUGUCUGUGACAAAUAUGAUGUCGUAAGGGAAAAUAAUGAUAUUACCUUACUAAUAGUGUCGUCUAAAACUGGUGCCAGAAGACUCGGUAAGGCCAGAGACACAAAUGUUAAUCGUCUUAAUCAGGCGUAAAGGGUUUGUAGGCUGCUUUGAAAAUAUUAAUUUAACAUAGCAAUUUCUUUAUAAUUUUUAAAUUGAAAAAAAUUUUUUAGUUUGUAUAAAAUUUAGGGAAAUGUAAAUUGGUAUGAAUUAAAGCUAGAAUCAAAUAGAGGAUAUUUACGAAAUAAUGCUUGGUCGAGGGCUGAUAUCCGAAGACCCCAAGUGGAGUUCCAAUGGCGUAAGCAUUUAUCCAUUAAUGAUUGACGCUGAGAAACGAAGGUGAGGAUAGGAAAUAGGAUUAGAUACCCAGAUACCCCUCUCUGUCAACGAUGAAUGGUAGUUUGUUAGUCUAAGGACUAGUGACGAAGUUAACACGUUAACCAUUCCGCCUUGUGAGUACGACUGCAAAGUUGAAAACAAAAAAAUUAGUCGGUCUCGACAGUGCAA